rnacentral:rRNA from 1 species
CCUACGGGAGGCAGCAGUGAGGAAUAUUGGUCAAUGGGUGGAAGCCUGAACCAGCCAAGUAGCGUGCAGGAUGACGGCCCUACGGGUUGUAACCUGCUUUUAUACGGGAAUAACGCGCCUUACGUGUAGGGCUUUGCAUGUACCGUACGAAUAAGGACCGGCUAAUUCCGUGCCAGCAGCCGCGGUAAUACGGAAGGUCCGGGCGUUAUCCGGAUUUAUUGGGUUUAAAGGGAGCGUAGGCGGCAUGUCAAGCGUGUUGUGAAAUGUCCGGGCUCAACCCGGGCCUUGCAGCGCAAACUGGCGUGCUUGAGUGCGCGGGAGGCAGGCGGAAUUCGUGGUGUAGCGGUGAAAUGCUUAGAUAUGACGAAGAACCCCGAUUGCGAAGGCAGCUUGCUGCAGCAGAACUGACGCUGAUGCUCGAAAGCGCGGGUAUCGAACAGGAUUAGAUACCCCUGUAGUC